CCUACGCGAGGCAGCAGUGGGGAAUUUUGGACAAUGGGCGAAAGCCUGAUCCAGCAAUGCCGCGUGAGUGAAGAAGGCCUUCGGGUUGUAAAGCUCUUUUGUCAGGGAAGAAACGGUGCGGGCUAAUAUCCUGCACUAAUGACGGUACCUGAAGAAUAAGCACCGGCUAACUACGUGCCAGCAGCCGCGGUAAUACGUAGGGUGCAAGCGUUAAUCGGAAUUACUGGGCGUAAAGCGUGCGCAGGCGGUUUUGUAAGUCUGUCGUGAAAUCCCCGGGCUCAACCUGGGAAUUGCGAUGGAGACUGCAAGGCUAGAAUCUGGCAGAGGGGGGUAGAAUUCCACGUGUAGCAGUGAAAUGCGUAGAGAUGUGGAGGAACACCGAGGGCGAAGGCAGCCCCCUGGGUCAAGAUUGACGCUCAUGCACGAAAGCGUGGGGAGCAAACAGGAUUAGAUACCCUGGUAGUCCACGCCCUAAACGAUGUCUACUAGUUGUCGGGUUUUAAUUAACUUGGUAACGCAGCUAACGCGUGAAGUAGACCGCCUGGGGAGUACGGUCGCAAGAUUAAACUUAAAUGAAUUGAGGCUUGGNGAGNGCGAGACGACGACGAGGAGAGG
rnacentral:rRNA from 1 species